GUCUACGGCCAUGCCACCCUGAAUGCCCUUGAUCCCGUCUAAUCUCGGAAGCUAAGCAGGGUCAGACCUGGUUAGCACUUGGAUGGGAGACCACCUAGGAAGAUCAGGUGCUGAAGAUG
rnacentral:rRNA from 1 species